GGGACGGCGGCGCAGGUGUUCAUAGAUCAAACAAUGGCGGCGGCGGGCUAAUGUGUGGAAGUUGGAAAGGUAAAUGGCAACGGUAAAAUGGAAGGGAUAACUUCCUCCAUUGUUUAUCAUAAUGGUGCGGUACAAACGAUGCAAAUAAAGGGAUUUUUUUAUUUAAAGGAUCCUCAGAAUUUCGGCCACCUGAUUGGUGGUUACCUUUAUUUUAAGAGGAGAUAAGAUCUCCUUCCAGAGAUAAUCAUGUUGACCAAAGGUUGACCCUUAUACCUACCAAACUAGUCGACUAAAAGGCUCGGGGGCUGUGUGCCAC
rnacentral:lncRNA from 1 species